rnacentral:rRNA from 1 species
CCUACGGGUGGCUGCAGUGGGGAAUAUUGGACAAUGGGGGGAACCCUGAUCCAGCCAUGCCGCGUGUGUGAAGAAGGCCCUCGGGUUGUAAAGCACUUUCAGUGAGGAAGAACGCCUGGUGGUUAAUACCCAUCAGGAAAGACAUCACUCACAGAAGAAGCACCGGCUAACUCCGUGCCAGCAGCCGCGGUAAUACGGAGGGUGCGAGCGUUAAUCGGAAGUACUGGGCGUAAAGCGCGCGUAGGUGGCUUGAUAAGCCGGUUGUGAAAGCCCCGGGCUCAACCUGGGAACGGCAUCCGGAACUGUCAAGCUAGAGUGCAGGAGAGGAAGGUAGAAUUCCCGGUGUAGCGGUGAAAUGCGUAGAGAUCGGGAGGAAUACCAGUGGCGAAGGCGGCCUUCUGGACUGACACUGACACUGAGGUGCGAAAGCGUGGGUAGCAAACAGGAUUAGAUACCCGGGUAGUC